ACGAACGCUGGCGGCGUGCUUAACACAUGCAAGUCGAACGGAAAGGCCCUGCUUUUGUGGGGUGCUCGAGUGGCGAACGGGUGAGUAACACGUGAGUAACCUGCCCUUGACUUUGGGAUAACUUCAUGAAACUGGGGCUAAUACCGGAUAGGAGCUCCUGCUGCAUGGUGGGGGUUGGAAAGUUUCGGCGGUUGGGGAUGGACUCGCGGCUUAUCAGCUUGUUGGUGGGGUAGUGGCUUACCAAGGCUUUGACGGGUAGCCGGCCUGAGAGGGCGACCGGCCACAUUGGGACUGAGAUACGGCCCAGACUCCUACGGGAGGCAGCAGUGGGGAAUAUUGCACAAUGGGCGGAAGCCUGAUGCAGCAACGCCGCGUGCGGGAUGACGGCCUUCGGGUUGUAAACCGCUUUCGCCUGUGACGAAGCGUGAGUGGCGGUAAUGGGUAAAGAAGCACCGGCUAACUACGUG
rnacentral:rRNA from 1 species